GAUGAACGCUGGCGGUAUGCUUAACACAUGCAAGUCGAACGGACUCUUCGGAGUUAGUGGCGGACGGGUGAGUAACGCGUGAGAAUCUGGCUUUGGGUUCGGGACAACCACUGGAAACGGUGGCUAAUACCGGAUGUGCCGAGAGGUAAAAGAGAAAUUGCCUGAAGAUGAGCUCGCGUCUGAUUAGCUAGUUGGUGAGGUAAAGGCUCACCAAGGCAGCGAUCAGUAGCUGGUCUGAGAGGACGACCAGCCACACUGGGACUGAGACACGGCCCAGACUCCUACGGGAGGCAGCAGUGGGGAAUUUUCCGCAAUGGGCGAAAGCCUGACGGAGCAAUACCGCGUGAGGGAAGAAGGCUCUUGGGUUGUAAACCUCUUUUCUUAGGGAAGAACAAAAUGACGGUACCUAAGGAAUCAGCAUCGGCUAACUCCGUG
rnacentral:rRNA from 1 species